rnacentral:rRNA from 1 species
GCAUAUCAAUAAGCGGAGGAAAAGAAACUAACAAGGAUUCCCCCUAGUAACGGCGAGCGAAGCGGGAAGAGCUCAAAUUUGAAAGCUGGCGUCUUCGGCGUCCGCGUUGUAAUCUCGAGACGUGUUUUCCGUGCGGCUCUAUGGACAAGUCCCUUGGAACAGGGCAUCGUAGAGGGUGAAAAUCCCGUACUUGCCAUGGAAGUACCGUGCUUUGUGAUACACGCUCCAAGAGUCGAGUAGUUUGGGAUUGCUGCUCAAAGUGGGUGGUAGACUCCAUCUAAAGCUAAAUAUCGGGGAGAGACCGAUAGCGAACAAGUACCGUGAGGGAAAGAUGAAAAGCACUUUGGAAAGAGAGUUAAAAGUACGUGAAAUUGUCGAAAGGGAAGCACUUGAAGUCAGCCAUGCUGCUUGAGACUCAGCCUGGCUUUUGCUUGGUGUAUUUCUCGGUAGCAAGCCAGCAUUGGUUUGUGUCGUCGGAGAAGCGUAUGGGGAAUGUGGCAUCCUCGGAUGUGUUAUAGCCCUGUGCAGGAUACGACGACGUAGACCAAGGAACGCAGUGUGCCCUCUGGGCGGGUCUUCGGACACCUUCACACUUAGGAUGCUGGCGUAAUGGCUUUAAGUGGCCCGUCUUGA